CCCAGACAAGGUGACUUUUAUUAAUAUAUUUGCCUGUAUUUACCCCCCAAAAUAAAAUGACAUUUAACUGCUAUCAUAGAGAACUACAAAUGCCUGUCUCAAGCUUCACAUCCCUCACCAAGGGUCAUGGUCAUCUGGAUGAGACUGCCAAAUCAAGGCUAAGAACCAGUGGGUGUGCCUGAGGCUUACCACCUCUCAAUUAGAUGCAGACCCAAAGACAUUCAAGUCUCCAAUUGUCCCAGUAAGAGUUGAUGUACAGGCCUAAGUGACCAUACACAAUGGACCUACAGCUGGGGUGAGAUUAUUCCAUCAUUCACACACAGUAGACCUGGUGUAAACGUGGCCAACAAAAUGUUGUCCUCAAUGCUUAAGUUGUAUUGUCUAUGGCUCAGUUUUUUUAAAUGCUGUGAUCACUAAGGAAUGAUGUUGAGGGACACACGCUGAGACCCCGAGUAUGACUGGACAGACAUUUGUGACAACGACCUAAAAGGGGUGCAAAAGCACACCAGCACCCCAUUUUAUGUUUAUUCCAUGGCCAACCAAC